rnacentral:rRNA from 1 species
AGAGUUUGAUCCUGGCUCAGGAUGAACGCUAGCGGCAGGCUUAACACAUGCAAGUCGAGGGGCAGCGCGGGGCGGCAACGUCCUGGCGGCGACCGGCGGAAGGGUGCGUAACGCGUGAGCGACAUGCCCGUUGCCCGGGGACAACCGGUGGAAACGCCGACUAAUCCCCGAUGGGACGGAGGCCCUUAUGGGUCUCUGUUGAAAGUUACGGCGGCGACGGAUUGGCUCGCGUCCGAUUAGCUUGUUGGCGGGGUAACGGCCCACCAAGGCUACGAUCGGUAGGGGUUCUGAGAGGAAGGUCCCCCACAAUGGAACUGAGACGCGGUCCAUACUCCUACGGGAGGCAGCAGUGAGGAAUAUUGGUCAAUGGGCGGAAGCCUGAACCAGCCAUGCCGCGUGCGGGAAGGAGGCCCUAUGGGCUGUGAACCGCUUUUGCCUGGGGGCAAUAAGGGCGUCGCGCACGUCCGAUGAGAGUACCAGGCGAAUAAGCAUCGGCUAACUCCGUGCCAGCAGCCGCGGUAAUACGGGGGAUGCGAGCGUUAUCCGGAUUCAUUGGGUUUAAAGGGUGCGUAGGCUGUGCGUCAAGUCAGGGGUGAAAUUCCGGGGCUCAACUCCGGGGCUGCCCUUGAUACUGUCGCGCUGGAGUGCGGAUGCCGCCGGAGGAAUGAGUGGUGUAGCGGUGAAAUGCUUAGAUAUCACUCAGAACACCGAUUGCGAAGGCAUCUGGCGAAUCCGUAACUGACGCUGAGGCACGAAAGCGUGGGGAUAGAACAGGAUUAGAUACCCUGGUAUUCCACGCCGUAAACG